UGUCCGGGUGUGUAAAAUACACCUGUUAGCAAGGGCCGGGCAAGACCGGUGCCAGCCGCCGCGGUAACACCGGCGGCCCGAGUGGUGAUCGUGAUUAUUGGGUCUAAAGGGUCCGUAGCCGGUUUGGUCAGUCCUCCGGGAAAUCUGAUNGCUCAACUAUUAGGCUUUCGGGGGAUACUGCCAGACUUGGAACCGGGAGAGGUAAGAGGUACUACAGGGGUAGGAGUGAUAUCGAAAUCCCUGUGCCACCACCUGUGGCGAAGGCGUCUUACCAGAACGGGUUCGACGGUGAGGGACGAAAGCUGGGGGCACGAACCGGAUUAGAUACCCGGGUAGUCCCAGCCGUAAACGAUGCUCGCUAGGUGUCAGGCAUGGCGCGACCGUGUCUGGUGCCGCAGGGAA
rnacentral:rRNA from 1 species